rnacentral:rRNA from 1 species
CCUACGGGUGGCAGCAGUGGGGAAUAUUGGACAAUGGGCGAAAGCCUGAUCCAGCCAUGCCGCGUGUGUGAAGAAGGCCUUCGGGUUGUAAAGCACUUUCAGUGGGGAAGAAAGCCUUGGGGCUAAUACCCUCGAGGAAGGACAUCACCCACAGAAGAAGCACCGGCUAACUCCGUGCCAGCAGCCGCGGUAAUACGGAGGGUGCGAGCGUUAAUCGGAAUUACUGGGCGUAAAGCGCGCGUAGGCGGUUUGAUAAGCCGGUUGUGAAAGCCCCGGGCUCAACCUGGGAACGGCAUCCGGAACUGUCAGGCUAGAGUGCAGGAGAGGAAGGUAGAAUUCCCGGUGUAGCGGUGAAAUGCGUAGAGAUCGGGAGGAAUACCAGUGGCGAAGGCGGCCUUCUGGACUGACACUGACGCUGAGGUGCGAAAGCGUGGGUAGCAAACAGGAUUAGAUACCCCAGUAGUC